CUUCCAGCGAAAACAGUGGGGAGGUUUCAGGACCUCCUGUAAGAACACCCACUCCUCGCCGGAAACUGUCACGCAGAGAGUCCAGAAGACGUGUUUCCGUUAAGGAGCUUUUAUGUUGGAAGCGAUUACGAAAGCAACCACUGUCGGAAUCUGCUAGUGACUAGAGGAGCCAUGUCUGAGGGGCUCCGUCACAGACAGAGGUGUGGACUUGAACAAACUCUGAGGGGAUACGAUUUUACGCACAAGCAGCUCAUCAUCUCAUCACAGCAUUCCGACAGUCGUUGCUUUCGUAAUCGCUUCCAACAUAAAAGCUCCUUAACGGAAACACGUCUUCUGGACUCUCUGCGUGACAGUUUCCGGCGAGGAGUGGGUGUUCUUACAGGAGGUCCUGAAACCUCCCAUGUUAUCUCGCGGGAAGUGUCUAUGAGCCAUCCCUCGUUGUCAGCUCCUCUCACCCUGCUGGUUCCCUCUUCAGCUGCUGCGUCUCUCCCAACCUGUGUGAGCCCUUUCACCUCCCUGCUGGGUCCCUCUUCAGCUGCUGCGUCUCUCCCAACCUGUGUGAGCCCUUUCACCUCCCUGCUGGUUCCCUCUUCAGCUGCUGCGUCUCUCCCAACCUGUGUGAGCCCUUUCACCUCCCUUCCGUCCGAUGGCAGUUCCCUGACAUCCAAAAACACGAACAAGCCGAGGCUGGUGUGUGACUUCAGGGCCUUAAAUGCAGUGUCAGAACCAGUAGCCUUCCCUAUGCCCAGGAUUGACGACAUUUUGACAAGGGUGCGGAAGGGAAAGAUUUUCACAAAGCUGGACCUAAGGGGGGCGUACAACCUGGUACGAAUAAGGAAGGGGGAUGAAUGGAAAACCACUAUGUUCACCCCUUUAGGGGCAUUUGAAUAUUUGGUUAUGCCCUUCGGCCUACAAGCAGGCUCCGCAACAUUUCAAUCGUUUAUGAACCACGUCCUGGGGCCUUUGCUUUACAAGAAUUGUGUGGCCUUUUAGACGACGUGUUGGUGUAUUCUGAGAAUGAGGAGCAGCAUGUGAGAGACGUCAGAGAAGUGUUGAGCAGGCUGCAAGCCAACCAGCUGUGGGUGAAACUGGAGAAGUGUCAGUUUCAUACCAAGGAGGUGGAAUUCCUGGGGUAUCGCCUGUCUGACAAGGGAUUGGCCAUGGAUCCCGGCAAGGUCCAGGCGGUGCUGGAAUGGAAAACACCCAAAACAAAGAAGGAUGUGCAGAGGUUCCUAGGAUUUGGGAACUUCUAUCGUAAGUUCAUCCGAAACUUUGCCCACCUGACGGCGCCCAUUACGGACUGUCUCAGCAGUAAGAAGAAGUUCGUGUGGACUGAGGAGGCGGAGCGAGCAUUUGAGGAACUAAAAGGGGCCUUCGCCUCGGAACAACAACUCCUGCAUGUGGAUUUACAAAAACCGAUGAGAGUGGAAACUGACGCAUCAGACAGAGCGAUUGGGGCGGUGCUUCUACAGCCAGGGAAGAAGGGGUCAGAGUGGAGACCGUGUGCCUUUAUUUCGCGAAAGCUGAACAAAUCCGAGAGGAACUACACGGUGUAUGACCGAGAACUACUAGCCAUUCAUGAGGCGUUCCGGAGAUGGAGGCACCUGCUAAUUGGCGCACAACAUAAGGUGCAAGUGUGCACUGACCACAAGAACUUAGAGUAUUGGAGGACGGCACGAGUGCUCAACCAACGGCAAGUGAGAUGGGCCCAGGAGUUCUCCAAAUUUAACUUUGAGAUUAAUUACGUGCCAGGCCCAGAGAACAUUAGGGCGGACGCCUCUCACGCAAACCAGAAUAUGUGGAGGGCGAGGGGGCACCCGAAGAGAGACAUGUCAUUCCAGAGGGCCGCUGGGUGUGUGGGGCGGCAUUGGUGGGACAAAGAGAACUGGUAGAGGAAACAGAGAAUGAUGAAUACGCCCAGAAUAAGCUCAGAGGUCUUAGGAGUGAGGGAGAGGAACCAGGGGGUUUCGAGGAAAGAAAUGGAGCUUUGUAUUACAAAGGGGCACUGUAUAUCCCUGAAGGAGAGUCAAUGGGGAGGGUACGCACGCAGUUGCACGACAGCCCUACGGCGGGGCAUUUUGGACAACACAAACCCAUGUGGUUGGUCACCAGGGAAUUUUGGUGGCCUAAGGUGAGGGAAGAUGUACGUGAGUAUGUAAGAGGGUGCGAGCAAUGCCAGCGAGCCAAAGGGGAAAGGCGGGCGCCGGCGGGGCUAUUAGAACCCUUACCAACCCCAGAACGACCUUGGGAGGCAGUGUCGAUAGAUUUUAUGACUGAUCUGCCGAAGUCCAAAGGGAAAACAGCCAUCAUGGUGGUGGUAGACCUACUAACAAAGAUGUGCCACUUUGUAGCUUGCUCGCAUGCAGUCACGGCGGAAGAGACAGCGAAGUUAUUUGUAGAACACAUUUUUAGGUUGCACGGGGUGCCAUUGAGGGUGGUCUCAGACCGAGGAAAACAAUUUACUUCCAGGUUCUGGAGGAAGCUCAUGAGCUUACUGCAGGUGGAGGUCAAUUUUUCGACUGCCCGGCACCCUGAAACCAACGGGCAGGCGGAAAGAGCAAACGGUGUCCUCCAGCAAUACCUGAGGUGUUAUGUCAAUGACAGAGAGAAUGACUGGGUAGAAAAGUUGGCGCUGGCGGAAUUUGCCUACAACAAUGCCGAGAAUGUGUCCACAGGGAUGAGCCCUUCUUGGCUAAUUAUGGGUGUCAUCCCAGGGCUUUCCCAGGGGAGAGGGGAGAGAUGGAGCGUCCCGGCAGCCGAGCAUUUUGUGGAAGAAAUGGAAGCAAUCCAUCGUCAGCUCCAACUCAACUUAGAAAGGGCGAAGGAAGAAUACAAGAGGCAGGCAGACAAGAACCGAAGGGAAGGUGAAACCAUAAGGGUGGGAGAUAGGGUGUGGCUGUCAACCCAAGGGCUGCCGUUCAAAGGAGGUUGUAAGAAAUUAAGACCCAGGAGGUUGGGUCCCUUUGAGGUCAUUCAACAGGUCAACCCUGUGGCUUUCAGGCUCCGGUUACCCAACCACAUGAAACUGCACCCAGUAUUUCACAGGUCGUUACUGUCACCGUACGAAAGGGGACGAGAAGGGCUGGCCACUCGGGGCCCGGUCAUAGAAGAAAGAGAAUGCAGCAGCCAUGUGGCAGAAAUCCUCGACGCCAGGUGGAAGGGGGAUCAGGUGGAGUAUUUGGUAGCGUGGGAAGGAGAACCGGAGUCAGAAAACACUUGGGUAAUGGCCGAAGAUAUCAAUGACGAGGUAUUGAUAGAAACGUUCCAUCAAAGGUUCCCAAGGAAACCUCAGCCUGUGGAGAGGUUCCGGAGGGAAUACUUUGGGACCACUGAUGAGGGGGAGGAGUUGGAAGGAUUCCCGGACUCGGAAGGGGAAGGGAGAUGGACUCUGAGGAGGAGGUGUACUUCGAGACCAGGAACCGCAACAGGUUGAGAGAAGUGUUCGAGACAUCGGAAGAUGAAGGAAGUUCAUUCCGGGGUUUUGCCUCCUCACCGCCCGUAGAGGAGGGGGCGAGGGGGUGAAGGGGGCCCUGGAGGGGAGGUGGAUGUCAGGGAACUGCCAUCGGACGGAAGGGAGGUGAAAGGGCUCACACAGGUUGGGAGAGACGCAGCAGCUGAAGAGGGAACCAGCAGGGAGGUGAAAGGGCUCACACAGGUUGGGAGAGACGCAGCAGCUGAAGAGGGAACCAGCAGGGAGGUGAAAGGGCUCACACAGGUUGGGAGAGACGCAGCAGCUGAAGAGGGAACCAGCAGGGGAGAGGAGCUGAGCUGGAGGGAUGGCUCAGAGACACUUCCAGCGAAAACAGUGGGGAGGUUUCAGGACCUCCUGUAAGAACACCCACUCCUCGCCGGAAACUGUCACGCAGAGAGUCCAGAAGACGUGUUUCCGUUAAGGAGCUUUUAUGUUGGAAGCGAUUACGAAAGCAACCACUGUCGGAAUCUGCUAGUGACAAGAGGAGCCAUGUCUGAGGGGCUCCGUCACAGACAGAGGUGUGGACUUGAACAAACUCUGAGGGGAUACGAUUUUACGC